CAACAUAUAAAGAUACACACACGCGUAUCGUAAACAAACACGAUAUGCUGUUCUAUUGAGUAUUUGAUCAACACAGUCACUCCUCUCCCUGCUAUCUUUUUAAUAGCAUCAAUUCAAGCUCUGAUUCAGCCUCCAAUGGCAUCCGAUGCUGCCAUUGCCACUUGGGGCUCUGGGGAAGACGGCCAAUUGGGAAUCGGGAACAACGAGGAGAAGGAAUGGGUGUGCGCCGUCAGAGCCCUCGAGUCGCAGACUAUCCGCUCUGUUGUCGCUGGCAGCCGAAAUUCUCUCGCUAUUUGCGAUGACGGCAAGUUGUUUACAUGGGGUUGGAACCAAAGAGGAACCUUAGGGCACCCUUCCGAGACCAAAACUGAGAACAUUCCAAGCCAGGUUAAAGCUCUUGCCAAUGUCAAGAUUGUUCAGGCUGCUAUUGGUGGAUGGCAUUGUUUGGCUGUCGAUGAUCAAGGUCGUGCUUACGCUUGGGGUGGGAAUGAGUAUGGACAGUGUGGUGAAGAACCUGAGCGGAAAGAUGACACUGUUAGACCUUUGAGAAGGGAUAUAGUGAAUCCUCAACGCUGUGCACCAACACUUAAGGUCCGCCAGGUAGCUGCUGGGGGUACUCACUCUGUGGUACUUACACGUGAUGGGCAAGUAUGGACAUGGGGUCAGCCAUGGCCUCCGGGAGACAUAAAACAAAUUUCAACACCUGUGCGUGUACAAGGUCUUGAUGCAGUGAGGCUCAUUGCAGUUGGGGCAUUUCAUAAUUUGGCUCUGCAGGAGGAUGGUACUUUAUGGGCUUGGGGUAAUAACGAAUAUGGACAACUUGGAACAGGGGAUACUCAGCCGAGAUCGCAGCCUAUUCCUGUCCAGGGGCUAUCUGGUCUUAAUUUGGUGGAUAUUGCUGCUGGAGGAUGGCAUUCUACUGCACUAACAGAAGAUGGAGAGGUGUAUGGUUGGGGACGAGGAGAACAUGGAAGGCUUGGGUUUUGGUGACAAUGAUAAAAGUAGUAAAAUGGUGCCGCAAAGGGUUCAUCUUUUAGCUGGGGAGGAUAUUGUUCAGGUGUCUUGUGGAGGCACUCACUCUGUUGCAUUAACUCGUGACGGGCGAAUCUAUUCGUUUGGCCGAGGCGACCACGGACGCCUUGGAUAUGGAAGGAAGGUGACGACUGGUCAGCCGAUGGAAGUUCCCAUUGGCAUCCCUCCCAGAAAUGGCACUGCAGACAAUGGACACUGGAUUGCCAAACUCGUCGCUUCUGGAGGACGCCAUACGUUGGCAAUCGUAGAAUGGAAAGCCGAUGAUGAACCAGAAUCAUAGGAAUCAUGUCCGAAAAUUAUCCGGUAGCUCGAAUAAUCGAUGUUGGUUAUGUAUAACUGUGUUAUCUAAGUUCAAAUAGUAACAUAACUUAAUAUUUUCGUUCUGCAUAUUUUUUGCUUCCGGGUUUUUGAAUUCGGUAAAGAACUGUUUUGCGUA